AAGACACUAGUAAAAUAGUAUAUUACACCGCCUUGUCAAGGCAGAAUUGUGGGUUAGACCCCCGCGUAUCUUA
rnacentral:tRNA from 1 species